UAGAGACAUCAGAAAUAUUCAGGCAUAUUAAACAAAUGAAUGAAAUUGAGACAAAGAGUAGCCACAUUCUAAUAUGGUUAGAAGUUCUGAUAACAAGAAAGCAGAAGUUUUAGAGAAACUUUGAGGGGUGAAUGGUGAAAAUCCAAGUGCAGUUUUCCACCAGAUUAAAAGACAAUUAGUUGAAGAGGGUCAUGAUCUAUUAUGUAGUUGGGGUAAACAUGAAGAUACUGAACUGAAUGAAUGCUAUUGAUAUCAGCACGAAUACUUCCCAAGACUAAGCAGAAGAAUAGCAGUAAAAGAUUCUGCAGCAAAUGAAACAGGCUGAGCUACAGAUAACGCAGACUUCAAGACACCAAGCUAAUUACCUACAGCAUAUAGCACCAUAAAUGUGAAAUUCAAGAGGAAUCUUAAACACAGACCACUGGAAAAUUCUACACACUGCAAUGGCAUGCUUUACAGGAUAAACUUUGUGGUCACACUUAGAUUAGAUCCAGCUAGGUGUGCCCACAUCUACACUACAGGUAUGAUGAACACAGGUGUAUCCUGAGACUACUGUAUCCACUUUAUAAAUGUUAUCUGUAUCUCUGUGAGGGAGGAAUCGUGUGCUGGCUUGUUGGGGAGGGGUCCAAAGCUUUGUCCAGGAACUAACGUGAGCGUGUGUGUGUAUUUACCUCAGAUGCUGGGACAGGGUGUGCUGCCCACACUCCAUCCCUAAGACAAGAUUUUCAGUAAUGAAGUAGAUACAUCAGAAAGUGCUGCUGCUUUGAGCUGGCUCCCACAAAUAUGGGAGCAACUAUGGCUAAGAGUAAGAGGCUGCGCUGAAGGGUUGCGCUGCACCAGGGAGUCAAAGGGGUUGAAGACAGGUGACUGGAAGAGAGAAGAGUGAAGAGAGCAAAGAAGAAAGCGCUUCAGGCCUCAAGCACCAGUAGUACGCCAGUUUCAUUUUCUGGCCUUGCUCCUUAUGCCUGUACCAUCGGUGGCAGACUGCCUCUUGAGAAUUGGAUUUUUUUAACCAUUUGCUACACUGCAGCAUGACACAU